UACGUAGGUGGCAAGCGUUGUCCGGAAUUAUUGGGCGUAAAGCGCGCGCAGGCGGUCCCUUAAGUCUGAUGUGAAAGCCCCCGGCUUAACCGGGGAGGGUCAUUGGAAACUGGGGGACUUGAGUGCAGAAGAGAAGAGCGGAAUUCCAUGUGUAGCGGUGAAAUGCGCAGAGAUAUGGAGGAACACCAGUGGCGAAGGCGGCUCUUUGGUCUGUAACUGACGCUGAGGCGCGAAAGCGUGGGGAGCAAACUGG
rnacentral:rRNA from 1 species